rnacentral:rRNA from 1 species
UACGUAGGGGGCGAGCGUUGUCCGGAUUCAUUGGGCGUAAAGCGCGCGUAGGCGGCCCCGCAAGUCGGCCGUGAAAUCUCCGGGCUCAACUCGGAGGGGUCGGGCGAGACUGCGCGGCUCGAGGUGGGCAGAGGGCAGUGGAAUUCCGGGUGUGAGUGGUGGAAUGCGUAGAGAUCCGGAGGAACACCAGUGGCGAAGGCGGCUGCCUGGGCCUGGCCUGACGCUGAGGCGC